rnacentral:lncRNA from 1 species
GAUUGGUAUAAAUGAGAAUAUAGAUUGGUAUAAAUGAGAAUAUUAUAGAACAUAGCCACAUAGAUUGACAAAUAAUGGAUUACAUGUAUAUAGAAUAUAGUUAAUGUAAGAAGAUAAAUACCAAUACUGUAAAUAUGUUGUUUUGUAUGUUUUAUGUUGGUAUUUUUAUUAUAAUACUAGCUAGUAUGAUUGUUUUAUUUUUUUGUAUGAUACAUUUUUGUUUUAAAAGUAUAUUAAUGAUGAUAAAAACCAUUUGGAGUUGGACUGGUCAUUCAACUUCACACCCUGCACUUGUAUAGGGCUGACCACCUAAUACAAGGAACAUACAGCCA